ACUCAAAACCAUUGGGACUGAGCAAGGUUGGAUGGGAUCAGUUCCCUAAAAGAAACCCAUGGAGCUUUUACCGGAAGAAAAGUAAGAGGUCUUCCUGGUGCCGAUCUGUGCUUGGAGGAGUGCCCUGACUCUGGCUCCCAGUGGUGUUGCAUGCCUUCCGUUUCCCAGUCAUAACCAGUCAACCCUCUUUCCCCUGAGGUCGAGCUCUUUAGAAGGCAAAGUCCAAGUUGCCUCCCUCCCUGGUCUUCAGGACUCAACUGGACCUGAGCUGUUCUGGAUGAGACACAAAUGGGGACAAGUGCAUUGCUACACCGGGAUGAAGGACGGGGAGUAAAAAGAUGCCAGAACGGGGGUCCUGUUCUCUAGCUCCUUCAUUGCAUCCUCUUUCCGAGCCACCCAGGGCCUCCUUUCCACAGUUUAUCUGGCUUCCCCUGAUGAAGCUAAUACUUGGACCCAAUCUGGCUGAAGCAGCUUUGAAUUUAGGCUCCAAAGCUACAUGAGAAAUUUAUGUGUGGUUGGCUUGCAAAGAUAAGUUUUUGACCUGUAGCCCAAACCAUGUGUGCCUUGAAAUGUGGCUGGUUCAAACUGAGAUGUGUUAUAAAU
ensembl:lncRNA